UACGUCGGGCGCAAGCGUUGUCCGGAAUUAUUGGGCGUAAAGAGCUCGUAGGCGGCUUGUCACGUCGGGUGUGAAAGACCGGGGCUUAACUCCGGUUCUGCAUUCGAUACGGGCUAGCUAGAGUGUGGUAGGGGAGAUCGGAAUUCCUGAUGUAGCGGUGAAAUGCGCAGAUAUCAGGAGGAACACCGGUGGCGAAGGCAGAUCUCUGGGCCAUUACUGACGCUGAGGAGCGAAAGCGUGGGGAGCGAACAGG
rnacentral:rRNA from 1 species